GACGAACGCUGGCGGCGUGCUUAACACAUGCAAGUCGAACGGAAAGGCCCUGCUUUUGUGGGGUGCUCGAGUGGCGAACGGGUGAGUAACACGUGAGUAACCUGCCCUUGACUUUGGGAUAACUUCAGGAAACUGGGGCUAAUACCGGAUAGGAGCUCCUGCUGCAUGGUGGGGGUUGGAAAGUUUCGGCGGUUGGGGAUGGACUCGCGGCUUAUCAGCUUGUUGGUGGGGUAGUGGCUUACCAAGGCUUUGACGGGUAGCCGGCCUGAGAGGGUGACCGGCCACAUUGGGACUGAGAUACGGCCCAGAAUCCUACGGGAGGCAGCAGUGGGGAAUAUUGCACAGUGGGCGGAAGCCUGAUGCAGCAACGCCGCGUGCGGGAUGACGGCCUUCGGGUUGUAAACCGCUUUCGCCUGUGACGAAGCGUGAGUGACGGUAAUGGGUAAAGAAGCACCGGCUAACUACGUG
rnacentral:rRNA from 1 species